AGGCCAUGGUGUGGACAUCGUUAGAGCAAGUCCUUGUACCCUCUCUCAUGCUUCGUAUAAAGACUCAGAAUCCAACUGCAUGAAAGAAGUGAUGUCAUUCCUCAUCUU
rnacentral:snoRNA from 1 species